CUGGAUUCUUGGGAAGAAUAGAGUCCAGUCAUAUCUGGAGAUCAGGUUGGGUUUGACAUCUAAGAAAGCUUGGGUCUUCCAUCUAACUUCUCUAUCCUUCAAUCUUUUCUAUGAUACCGCCCUUCCAGAAGUCCUCUAUGUAGAUGCCAACCUUGGUGUUGCUGAAUGAAUCCACAGCCCUGAGGAGCUGAAAUUCUAGGCACAGGCCUAGUUGCAACUGCUUCUGAUGGGAGUUUAUGUGUAUCUCAGAGGAGAAGUCUUAUGAACUUGGGUUUGAUAUGCCCAGAAAUGGAUCCAUAGCAACUUCCAGGAGAAGAUAGUCACACCAGACAAUUGAACCAAUUUUUGGUGGUUGCACCUGGACACUGAAGCCACCGUUUUCCAGAUUGUUUGCUUGGUUGUUUCCUCUGCCGGAUAUCUAUGUUUAUUGCUCUACCCUGAGGCUCAUCAUCUCAGGAAUCAGUGAAAUGUUUCCAAGAGUGGAUGGAACAGAUGUUGGGCAUGAGGCUGAGACACGCCCUGGAAGGUAACUAAAAGUCGAAUUAGCUUUAUUUUUUUGUUUGCUUUGCCUCGUUAUUUUAAAAGUUGUAUGUAAAAGAACUCUACUUAAUU
rnacentral:lncRNA from 1 species